UAAGAAAUUUUAGAAUAAAGACAAAAUUUGUAAAUGAUGUGAAAUGUCAUGCAUAUGUGAUCACUUCCUCUUAGAGGGUCGUCCUGAUUUCCUUGUAAUGAUUUUGAUAUGUAUAGAGGCCGAGGUAAAGGAGAGUACACCAAACUGUUUAACGACGGAACCUAUAGUUGUGCUGGCUGUGCAACUCCUCUUUACAAGUCCACCACUAAGUUCGACUCUGGUUGUGGCUGGCCUUCCUUCUUUGAUGCUAUCCCUGGUGCCAUUAAACGAACGGUACUUGACAUAUUCUUCUUUUCUAUUCUUUUAUGAAACACACUUGUUUUUUUUUCUGUUCUUUCAUGACGCACUAUUAUUUUAGUAUUGUCCACUAAACAAGUUGUAUAAUUAAUGUUUUUUUUGUAUAAUUAAUGUUUUUAUGUAUAUAUCAGCCGGAGGCAGGAGGGAGACGAAUGGAGCUCACGUGUGCGACAUGUGAUGGACAUUUAGGCCAUGUUGUCAAAGGAGAAGGCUUUCCCACAGCAACCGAUGAACGUCACUGCGUCAACAGUGUUUCUCUCAAGUUUUCCGAAAUUUCUUCCCAAUAAAACGACAUAUCUAUAUUUGAUGACCACUCUUGUUCGACCAAUUCAUCUCCUUCAAGAAAAUUUGAAGUUCAAGUGUGAUUGUUUGAGAUUGUUAUGUCAUGUUCGUUCCUAGUCAUGUGUGAUAUGCUACCAUUGUUGUUUGUCACUUGUGUGAUAUGCUCCCAUUGUUGUUUUGCACUUGUGUGUUUUUUUUUCCUUCUCUCAACUAUAUAUAUUAUAUGUUAUUUUUCCAUUGACCACCUUGAUAUGUUAAAUGUACGUAAGUCUUAUAUUAUGAAAGUUUUUUUUUUUUGGUUUUAUAUUAUAAAAAUUUAGCUUUUUAAUCAUAUAUAUAUAUAUAUAUAAUUUAAUUAGUAAGCCUAAUAUUUAAUAAAUGCGUUUGUGGGUAUAUGCCAAAUUUUUAUUAUAAGGGAUUUGCUUACGUUGCCAAUAUUAUUUGAUUUUGAAAUCAUGAGUAUCUAUUGGCUGAGAGACUUGAAAGACAAUCUUCUUCUUCUUCUUUAUUUUUUUUUGUUUUUUUUUAACUUUAUAAAACUACAAGAUAUAUGACGAACUUAUAAGCCAUACUGUUAAUUACUUUGUAGCAAAUUGAAGAAUAUAAUGCUAAAAUUUUGCGAUAGAGUGAAGUUUCCUCCUUAUCAUAUUAGCUUUCCAAGCAACAUUUUAUCAUCUAGAGAAAAAAAAAAAAAAAAAAGAUGGACGAGUUCACUAAACCGCUACGUACUCAUUGUGUUCCACUUAUCUCUCUCGAAAAUUUUACAAACUGAUUUACAACAACAUAAGCUAGAUUCGCGUAGAAGUAUCAUCUCACCUAAACAUUGGUUCGCUAUCCGUAACGAUUACAUUAAAGAAGGAUACAUUAGUUGCUCCAAAUAAAAUAAAAUAAAAUAAAAUAAAAUAAAAAGAAGAAGGAUGAAUUAUUAUUAUUUCACAUAUAUAACAUGAAAAACAUGCAUGUUUUUUUUCAACGUUAUAAGUUAUAUGCUAUAUUCAUGCAAAUAGUGCGAACCAAGUCUUUUUUUAUCUUACAUUAUAUUAUCAUAUGAAAUCUCAAGGAAAUUAGGAAAAUAGGCUUUAGUCAACAUUGGCUUCUUCUACGUGCAACGAGACAAAAAAAAAAAAAAAAAAAAAAAAAGAGAGAACAGGGGAAGUAGGUUCCUAUAUAUAAAUUAUUACACGAUCAUCAAAGUCCACACAACUAAACGUUCACUAAUUCACCACAACUGUUGCCUUGGUAAGACAUCUCUAUCUCUUUUUCAAUGUCAAUAAUUUUUUUUUGUCAUAGCUCUAGUAUCCAUGCUGGCAAUUAUAUAUUGAUAUCUAUGUAUGAGUUGUAACCUUAUUUUAUUAUGGUAUCUUAGUUGUUAUUAAGAUUCUUGUUACCAUCUUUUAAUUUUGACCCCCAAAAAAAAAGGAAAAAAUGAUUUGUCUAUGCGUAUAUAUAUACUCUCAGCCCUUUAUAGCUCAAUUCACAAAAUCAGUUCUGCUUUCAUUUUCUUAAAAAGGUCUCAAAACCAUCUCUCCGUUGCCUUCAUAGCCACUCAAAUAUAGUAAUCAUGCCAACACCCGCGACAAUGGUGGCUCCAUCAACUGGAUCUUUCCCCAAAAAAGAUCAAGAAUGGCGUGCGGUUUUGUCUCCUGAACAGUUCAGAGUUCUUAGGGAAAAAGGCACAGAGUAAGAAUUAUCUUCUAAAUGUCUAUAUUCCAUUGCAUCUUUCUCUAUACAACAAUAAUUCCAUAAAGAUUAAAGGGUACUAGUCCAAGAUUAAUUAGCCACUACACUUCUCAAAAGAGAUAUAAACCUCACCAUAACAUGCUAUUAUAUGUGUCCGGCUAAGUAAUUCUAGAAAAUGGAUAAAAUGUGUAAAUUAUGUCUAUUGUCACGAAGAUGUGAUCCUUUAGACGGUCUUACUGAUUUGUUUGCAAUGGUUUUGAUAAAUAUAGAGCCAGAGGUAAAGGAGAGUAUACCAAACUGUUUGACGACGGAACCUAUAGUUGUGCUGGCUGUGCAACUCCUCUUUACAAGUCCACCACUAAGUUCGACUCUGGUUGUGGCUGGCCUUC
rnacentral:lncRNA from 1 species